GAGUAACACGUGACUAACCUACCCUCGAGUGGGGAAUAACUCCGGGAAACCGGGGCUAAUACCGCACAACAUCUUCGGAACGCGAGUUCUGUUGAUCAAAGGAGCAAUUCGCUUGAGGAGGGAGUCGCGGCUGAUUAGCUAGUUGGCGGGGUAAUGGCCCACCAAGGCUUAGAUCGGUAGCCGGCCUGAGAGGGCGCACGGCCACACUGGAACUGAAACACGGUCCAG
rnacentral:rRNA from 1 species